AAUAUUUUUAAGUGUAUUUAUUUUCAUUUGCUAGCUUGGUGAUUUAUGGGUUUGUUUUAUUUUCUUUUUUUCCCCCUUUCAGAAGAGAGAAUGAGCACCUUGAGCUCGAGCGCUGCCGACUGCAGGGUGGCUGGAGUUGGGUGUUCUGCUCACAGGCAGAAGAAAACCACUUCAAGACAUCAAGAUGAAACUGGAUUUAUGGAUAAAAACGGCCAAAUGACAUCUGAAAAUUUUGUUUCCCUUUGAAAUUCUUGAUGCAUUUCAGCAUCUCCAGGAGGGCAUCUCCUCUCUUGUGUUGCCAGAAGAGCCAACUGAGCCUAAUCCCAUUUUCCCUAGGACCUGGCAGCCAUUCAGGACUGCUUCUAUUGUAUUUACGUGGAAUUUGGUCACCUGUGGCUUCAGGCAGCCCAAAUCUCUCAGGAUGUGCAGGACAGGGAUGUGUUCCCGUUUCACACGAGGCCUCACGCUGA
rnacentral:lncRNA from 1 species